rnacentral:rRNA from 1 species
GACGAACGCUGGCGGCGUGCUUAACACAUGCAAGUCGAACGAAGAGCGAUGGAAGCUUGCUUCUAUCAAUCUUAGUGGCGAACGGGUGAGUAACGCGUAAUCAACCUGCCCUUCAGAGGGGGACAACAGUUGGAAACGACUGCUAAUACCGCAUACGAUCUAAACUCGGCAUCGAGGAUAGAUGAAAGGUGGCCUCUACAUGUAAGCUAUCACUGAAGGAGGGGAUUGCGUCUGAUUAGCUAGUUGGAGGGGUAACGGCCCACCAAGGCGAUGAUCAGUAGCCGGUCUGAGAGGAUGAACGGCCACAUUGGGACGGAGACACGGCCCAGACUCCUACGGGAGGCAGCAGUGGGGAAUCUUCCGCAAUGGACGAAAGUCUGACGGAGCAACGCCGCGUGAGUGAUGACGGCCGUCGGGUUGUAAAGCUCUGUUAAUCGGGACGAAAGGCCUUCUUGCGAAUAGUGAGAAGGAUUGACGGUACCGGAAUAGAAAGCCACGGCUAACUACGUG